rnacentral:lncRNA from 1 species
GAAAAAAAAAAAAAAAAGACAGGGAAGGAGAGAGCGAGAGGGAGAGAGAUUGAGAGAGAGAGAGAGAGAGAGAGAGACUUGGCAAAGGAAAUCUUAUGGGUAUACUGAAACAGCAGAUCAGAAUUGUGAAACCAGAGCCAGGGCUGAAAUGUGAUGCUUUUGCUCUUUUGUGCUUGUUGUGGUUCUCAUCUUCCCAUUUAGAGGGCUGCAUACCAUUCAACAGAAUAUUUUGAUCACAGAUUGAACAAUGCAGCAAUCAAGCCUGAUAAGCCACCUGGAAGUUUUGCUUGAGACGAUUUCUAGUGGGUUUUCUGAUCCCUGUGAGCAUCAUGACUGCCUUUAGCAUUGUGGAGGAGGACUCGAGUUUCUUAUGAGGGCCCCACUUGGAAAAGCAGGCUGUGCAGAUUCAAGCCUCCGGGUCUGUUCAUGCUGUUCAAAAGCCUUUCCUCACCCUUGCUGAUUUGUUUUUAUGAUUUACAUACACUCCCGUGGAGAUUUACAGAAUGGAUUGUCUGUGCAUUGUCACGACCAAGCAGAGCCAUGGCAGAUGCCCAUCCCACAAAAGCUCAGUCGAAACACCUGCCUGGAUACCCAUUCAGCACUCUACCGCGGUCCCAUGCCUUAAAUUUAGUAGGUGUGAACUCCAGUUACCCUGUACUCUGGUUGACCUAACGAAAAGGGAUAUGAGGAUACUUAGAAGCCUUAAUUGUUCCAAACAUCCUUUCCUUCAGUGAAGGGGGGAUUCACCAGAUUCCUAAGGGGAAAAAGAAGCAAAAACAAGAAAGGAGGAAAGAUGGCAAGAUAAUGAAGGAGAAAUGAUAAUAGGAAGGAAGAAAACAGAAAGAUCAUGAGGGUAUUAAAUGUAAGCCUGUUCCUGUUACUUGAUGCUGACCACAUCUGCAGCUUAACGAAUAUUAGACAGAUUGAUGGCUAUGUAAAGACUAUAUUUUACCUUGGAAUUUAUUGUGCUAGCCUCCCACUGAUAUUUCCACUUGAAAAUGUAUUGCUUCAUAACAUCAUCUGGGAAAGGUCAUUAAAAUAGUUGUCACCUUAUUUCAGAGAGUUUUUCAUCCUUUAAUGAAAAGAUGUGCCUGUUAACAUGCCCAGCAAUGUUAAAUGUGCCCAUUGCAGGGCAUUCUGCUGGGUCUCUUGUAUAUGGACAACUGAGCUGCUGAAUGUCAACAGCAAAUGUUGCUAUUUAGAGAUGUGAAGUAUUGGUGCAUUAGCAAAGGUUUGGAGCUCUUUUGCACCUGAAACUGAUUUCUGAACACUUUCAUCAUCAUUUUUUCAUCAUUGAACUUUUAAUAUUCAGCUGGACAGGGUGCUGGACCAUCUUCUCUACACUGUGCUUUUGCCAAGAAAGGUUGGACCAGAUGAUCCUUGAGAUCCUUUUCAACCUGGGACUCUAUGAUGUGUAAUUCUCUAUGUGGAUUUAUUAACGUUCAUGGAAAUAUUGCUCAAAUUUAACUAGACUGAAGCACAGAUCAAAUGCUGUAUCUGUCCUAGAUUGAGACUGGGGGAAAUUCUGCUGUUACUAACAUGGAAACAGUUUCUGGCCCAAUUAUUUGCAGAGAACACAUUCUUGUUGGCAAAUAAAAAAGAGCAAGAAGUGCCGAAGUCA